AAAAAAGAAAAGACCUCUUUCUUCCCUUGUGAAGUUGGAAUCCUGCAACCCUGAGCGGACCCGAGGCUCCCCGCUCUCCCUCGGACCAGCCCCUGCAGUCAGCCUCGCUGGACGUGCGCAGCCGGUGGCUUCGAUUUGACCCCAUUUUGCCUAUUGAAGCUUGCUUGCAUUGUCCUGGGGUUACUCCAAGCUCUCUCAGACUGAAUUUAUGAUUGUAGAGCCCUUCUCCAGAGGGUGCUUUGAGAAUGUCCUGAAAGGACAGCACAUGGUGGUGUAUAUUAACUACCGCUGGCCUAACAAGAGAGAGGAUAGCUCUGGGAACAUCACUUGGCUGGGAGUCAAGAGGAGAUUGAGCUACAUUAUGGAGACCGUAGACCUCUUCCCUUUGGACCCUAUGAACACCUACAGCUGGACUUCAUCAACUGCCACUUGAUAUGGGCUGUCAAUAUGUCCCUGUUCUGUUUGUAUGUUUUUCUAGAUGGGUUGAAGCUGUUCCCCACAGCAAGUCUGCUGCCUUUACAAUGGAAAAAAAAUAUGUUUAAAAAUGUACUUCCCAUUUGGGGUACACCUUCUAUAAUCUCUAAUGAUUGGGGCACCCACUUCACUGGGCAAAUCACAUGAGCCUUAAUAAAAGCCUUAAAACUUCUUAAAAUUCUAGCA
rnacentral:lncRNA from 12 species